rnacentral:lncRNA from 1 species
AACAUUAUAUAAAAACAAGGGACAUAGAGUCUAACCUAAUGAAACAAAAAAAAAAUAACAACUCAAAAGGAUAAUAUAGUGUAAAUACAAUCCUAAAGGAUAAGAAAAUUAAAAUUAUAAAACGAAUUUAAAUUCGGGGAUAAACAUUCACCGCAUCACAUGCACAACCUAGCCAAUCAAGUAUGGGCAUGAAACCAAAUUGGAAAAAAA